AAGUCGAACGAUGAUGCCCAGCUUGCUGGGUGGAUUAGUGGCGAACGGGUGAGUAACACGUGAGUAACCUGCCCCUGACUCUGGGAUAAGCGUUGGAAACGACGUCUAAUACUGGAUAUGAUCACUGGCCGCAUGGUCUGGUGGUGGAAAGAUUUUUUGGUUGGGGAUGGACUCGCGGCCUAUCAGCUUGUUGGUGAGGUAAUGGCUCACCAAGGCGACGACGGGUAGCCGGCCUGAGAGGGUGACCGGCCACACUGGGACUGAGACACGGCCCAGACUCCUACGGGAGGCAGCAGUGGGGAAUAUUGCACAAUGGGCGAAAGCCUGAUGCAGCAACGCCGCGUGAGGGAUGACGGCCUUCGGGUUGUAAACCUCUUUUAGUAGGGAAGAAGCGCAAGUGACGGUACCUGCAGAAAAAGCACCGGCUAACUACGUGCCAGCAGCCGCGGUAAUACGUAGGGUGCAAGCGUUGUCCGGAAUUAUUGGGCGUAAAGAGCUCGUAGGCGGUUUGUCGCGUCUGCUGUGAAAUCCCGAGGCUCAACCUCGGGCUUGCAGUGGGUACGGGCAGACUAGAGUGCGGUAGGGGAGAUUGGAAUUCCUGGUGUAGCGGUGGAAUGCGCAGAUAUCAGGAGGAACACCGAUGGCGAAGGCAGAUCUCUGGGCCGUAACUGACGCUGAGGAGCGAAAGCGUGGGGAGCGAACAGGAUUAGAUACCCUGGUAGUCCACGCCGUAAACGUUGGGCGCUAGAUGUAGGGACCUUUCCACGGUUUCUGUGUCGUAGCUAACGCAUUA
rnacentral:rRNA from 1 species